AUAAAAGUCAAAUACGAUUUUGUAAUAUAGUCGAAAUAAAUUGGAUAGUCGUAAGCCAAAUUAUCGGACACCAAGUUGGAUUUGACCACAUAUUAGCGACACAAAGGCAAUGUUACACGAUAGAUGACAAGAUAAAUGUUUUCAGCCUUCACGGGGAGGAAUCCACAUACAAAAGCUUACAUGAAAUCUCCAUUAAGUCUGUCAGCACAUACCACACAUUAUUUAUCGCCUUAAGAUGUGAAUAGGACUUAAUCUCCGCUUGCGCAGCCCCUGCAGCCACAGUGGACGCAUUCUAUCACUUUUUCUUCCCUCAGGUGCUUAGGGACCCUGCAGACACAGGUGGUUGCGAAAUUGUGAUCUCGUGUCUGCAUGCACCUCAGGCAGCAGAGGCGCUCGUAACCUGGCUGCACAAACUCAAGACAAGGCAUAUGUCAAAGAGUGACCGAAGCAUAUAAUAAUCAAAUGUACAAGGAAGGAGGCCACUAUCAACCAAAAGGAACCUCACAAGAAAGAAAAAAAGAAAAAGAAUAUGGUCAAAGGCAAAUAGGAAAACGUUGAAACUAAUCCCAUUCUACAAAUGCACCAUAUAUCAGCAUUAAAAAGGUUCCCUUAUGGAGUUUCAUCUUCCAAGAUACUAUUAGUCCUCCAAGAACCCUAACAGUAGCUCUAUUAUUAUUGGACAACAUCCAAAAUUUCCCCCAUGUCAAGAAAGAGUUCUAAACAUGGAAGUGAAGUAGGUGAUGGUAUGCAAAUUUAACUUGCAGUACCAGUGCAACAAGCAGGUGAUAUCGAUGGCCAUGCAUGUCAAAAUUGAGAUGGAGAUAGGAUCCACCCCUUCAGGUACCUCUAUCAGUCAAUUAUAUUGACAACCUCUUCCGUGUGUCGUUCAUAAUUUUCUAUCCUGUCCAACUACAAACAUCAUGUAUCCAUGAUACAAGCCAAACAAAUAAAGAUGUAAAAAAUGUUGGCGAUGUCUCUGUUAAUACACGAUACUGACCACCUCAUCAUGUUUCUAGCAUAUAAUGGAUUGCCACAAAUGCAACCACAAAGCCCAUCAACAAGCAUUACACCUUCUCUUAUCAGUAAAUUAAAAACAGUAUUAAGUGUUUCCUAGAGUGUUCACACCUAUAACUGCUUAUUGGUAUAUAACUCAUCCCGUAUAGUCAGGACUUUGACCAAAACCUAGUAGUGUGUUCAUGCUAUAAUAUUAAGUAUGCCAGAGCAUAUUCAUGCCCAUAAUUAGUUAUUAGCAUAUACUCAGGUUUUUUAUCACCACCAAGGUAUUCACCAGUAAAUUUGUUGUGGUUUUUCAUAAAAUAACAACAUCCAGAAUCCAGAUAAACAGGACUUAUAGCUACCAUCAUAUAUUCAUGUAGUGAUCUAGGACCAAUUCAUAAGUCCCCCUUUUCCUAAAAAGCUAAAUGGAAAAUUAAUACAAGGGAACAAAAAACAAGGACAGGAAAUUAUUGACCAAACUUUCAUGAAUCAUUGAAAUUUCUUACAAUUGUGAGAUAUAGAAGGAAACAACCCCAGACGACGGGACGAGUUAAUUACAAGAGAACAGCAUGGGUAUUGUCACUUGAAAAAAAGAAAACUUAAAAAUAUAGGAAGCAUUUUGAAUAAUGAAAGCAUCACCAACCUUUUUCCACUUCGCAAUUAAAUUACGGUCUGCAUAGCCCUGAUCCAGGCAGAAUUCAUAUAGUUCCUUCGAAAUUUCCUUCCUCCGAUGAUAAAGAUCAUAUAUAUAACGGCUCUUUUGAUGAG
rnacentral:lncRNA from 1 species